UAUAAACAAAGUUGAAAUUUAUGUCAUUUUUAUUAGUAUACGUCAAAUCUUUUUGUCAAUAUUUUAUUUGAUUUCAAUAUAUCAAAAUUACAAGUAUGAGUUGUUGUCCGCCUUCUUCACCAAGUGACAAAUGUUGUAACCCUGCACGCUGUCCAACGAGUUGUUCGCCUUGUGGUCCCAUCUGUCCCCGACCAUCGUUUUGUGAUAAGUUGGCUCGACCGUGUUUUCAAAUACCAUAUGUACUUCUAGUCCCACCAUGUAAAUUGGAGUAUGUUUUAACGCCGUGCUGUCCUGCUCCGGAUCCUUGUGCCUGUGUUCCCACUUGUUCGCCCUGUUGCGGACCUUGUUGAUAAUCGUAAAAAAUGCAACUAAAGAUUAAGGAGAAAAGGUGUAACAAGAAGUAAUUUAAAUGCUAGUUUUUGUUUAUUAUUAUAAAUUAUUUAAUAUUUUUAGAAGUUACACUUCUAACUUAUUAUGUACAAUAAAAUUAUUUCGUAAU